rnacentral:lncRNA from 1 species
UGGGAUAGUAGGGUUACCCGUAGAUGACUAGUGUUUUAGCGUAGGUCCCCUCUUGGUUCGUAAUAUGAUAGUUGUCGCUUGUUAUUGUCGCAAGCGACGGUAUUUUGUGUUUCUUAUGUUUACAUAAUCAUUUACGCUAUUUCUGCAGGAUUACUUAUGCUUUAUUUUGUUAUUGUGUUUUGUCUUGUCUUGGUUCCUAACUUUAUCUUUGUUUUCCAAUGCAGCUUUUCAUUCUGUCCUAUGCGCCGAGGGUCGCUNNN